UGGGGAAUUUUGGACAAUGGGCGAAAGCCUGAUCCAGCAAUGCCGCGUGUGUGAAGAAGGCCUUCGGGUUGUAAAGCACUUUUGUCCGGAAAGAAAUCCUUGGCUCUAAUACAGUCGGGGGAUGACGGUACCGGAAGAAUAAGCACCGGCUAACUACGUGCCAGCAGCCGCGGUAAUACGUAGGGUGCAAGCGUUAAUCGGAAUUACUGGGCGUAAAGCAUGCGCAGGCGGUUUGCUAAGACCGAUGUGAAAUCCCCGGGCUCAACCUGGGAACUGCAUUGGUGACUGGCAGGCUAGAGUAUGGCAGAGGGGGGUAGAAUUCCACGUGUAGCAGUGAAAUGCGUAGAGAUGUGGAGGAAUACCGAUGGCGAAGGCAGCCCCCUGGGCCAAUACUGACGCUCAUGCACGAAAGCGUGGGGAGCAAACAGGAUUAGAUACCCUGGUAGUCCACGCCCUAAACGAUGUCAACUAGUUGUUGGGGAUUCAUUUCCUUAGUAACGUAGCUAACGCGUGAAGUUGACCGCCUGGGGAGUACGGUCGCAAGAUUAAAACUUAAAUGAAUUGACGGGGUCAUAGCUGUUUCCU
rnacentral:rRNA from 1 species